UGGAGUUUUAUCUUCAUAUAUAGCUAUUUGAUGAUUUGUUUAUUAAUUCUUCUAUUAACUUUCAUUCAAUUUUUGGUCUCUUAUUUAUAGGUUAGGAAAUCAAUCAAAGAGACUGCCUUAAUUCUCUCUAAUGAUGAUGUUGAUGGUGGCAGGGCUUGGCAAGGCGAGGUGUAGGCUCGAUGCAUGGAGGUGGGACUGUGGGGAUGGUGUUGUAACAGCGGGGACUUCAAUGCGACUAGGGUACCGUUGCCGUGAAGAAAAUGGUUUAUUUUGAUUACAUCCCCACUUAUCUAAAAGGCUAAGCUUCUAUGGAGGGGUGCUGAGUGUUGGAAUGAGUGUUUAAAGCUUUUGGGCGUUGCUGAAGCAGCAGAAGCAUCAAUGGAUUCUGACCAGUUAAGC